GACGAACGCUGGCGGCGUGCCUAAUACAUGCGAGUUGAGCGAUGAAGAUUGGUGCUUGCACCAAUUUGAAGAGCAGCGAACGGGUGAGUAACGCGUGGGGAAUCUGCCUUUGAGCGGGGGACAACAUUUGGAAACGAAUGCUAAUACCGCAUAACAACUUUAAACAUAAGUUUUAAGUUUGAAAGAUGCAAUUGCUUCACUCAAAGAUGAUCCCGCGUUGUAUUAGCUAGUUGGUGAGGUAAAGGCUCACCAAGGCGAUGAUACAUAGCCGACCUGAGAGGGUGAUCGGCCACAUUGGGACUGAGACACGGCCCAAACUCCUACGGGAGGCAGCAGUAGGGAAUCUUCGGCAAUGGACGAAAGUCUGACCGAGCAACGCCGCGGGAGUGAAGAAGGGUUUCGGAUCGUAAAACUCUGUUGGUAGAGAAGAACGUUGGUGAGAGUGGAAAGCUCAUCAAGUGACGGUAACUACACAGAAAGGGACGGCUAACUACGUG
rnacentral:rRNA from 1 species